UACGGAGGCCCCAAGCGUUGUUCGGAUUUAUUGGGCGUAAAGGGUGCGUAGGCGGCAUCUUAAGUCUGGUGUGAAAGGCGCGGGCUCAACCGUGCGGACUGCAUUGGAUACUGGGAUGCUAGAGGACUGGAGAGGAGAAUGAAUCACGGUGGAGCAGAUGAAUGCGUAGAUAUCGUGAGGAAGGCCAGUGGCGAAGGCGAUUCUCUGGACAGUACCUGACGCUGAGGCACGAAGGCUGGGGGAGCGAACAGG
rnacentral:rRNA from 1 species